rnacentral:sRNA from 1 species
AUUACAAUCCAAAGCCUAAACUAAAUUCCAAAUUCCUGAAAGUCACCAAGAGAUAGACAAGAGGGACAAGGAGAUAAGAGAAAGAGUAAGAACGACAGAUCAAAGUGAAAUAGAUCAAAAAUCAAACCAGAACGAAAUUGUUGUUGCAACCAGGUCUCUGCGGAAGCGAAUCGUCGUGGUGAACUAUGUCUCCAGCACAAACGAAACUAGCACUGUACAACAACAACCCGAAGACGAACGAGAAACAACUGAGAGAUUUCCACAAGAUCAUAUUCCAGACUCCACGGAAUCGUUAAAAGGAGGGAAGAAGAAAAAGAAGAUAAAAAGAUUAGAGAGGAAAGAUGGAGAAAAAAUGGAGGAAGGUACAAUGAACGAGAGAGAGAGAAGAGAAGAGAAGAGGGAAAAAAAAUAAAGUCUCGUGGGAGAGAGAGAGAUGAAAAAAGGUUGGUGUCGUUUUAGAGGUAAGUAAAGCUUAAAACGCUGGCUUUGACUUUUUUUUUCUCUCUCUUUUUGGUCCUCUGGCGCGUGGGACGCGUGUUUAGAUGUAUUGGUGUCUGUGUACAGUACUGUUUAUUAUUAUUGAAUUCUUUGUCCGUACGAUAUUUUGCCUUUUCUGUAGUUAUAUUUAUCAAAACUGUUUAUCUGCUGAUGAUGAUAAGUGAUAACAGAUCAAGCGCCGUGUAGUUCUAAAACAUGUGGAGUCAUUAACGGAACCAAAAAGUUACACAAAAAAACAAACAUCAUAUAUUAACUUACCGAUGCUUGAAUAAUAGUACUAUUAUUGAAUGACAAACCCAUUCUAUAAUCUAUAUCACUAUAUGCCAUGUUAUGAUUAUUGAUGAUUUAAGGUUUAAUUUUUUUUUCUUUUUUGAAAUAUGUUGAUUGUCUAUAUAAUAAACAUCUCUCACUCAAUAAAAAUCAAAUAAAUCAAGUGACCUUUUUCUGAAUCAUAUCAUAAACAAAAAAAUAUCAGUAAUUUUUUAAAAAGUACCGGUUUUCAAAUAAUAAAUUUGCAGUAAUGAAUUCAUUGAUGUUUUGGGUCGGUUCACCCUAAUACAUUUUUUCUCUCUCGCCUCCCUGCUUUAACUCCAAGUGGUCGUUGUGCUCGUGACGGCGCGUGGCGGCUCCUACAACGCCGGCGUCGGUCACCUUUCUUGUUUCCUGUUUAGUUUUUCUUUUCAUAGAUGUCUUCUUUGGUUUUAGAAGCAUAGAGGCUCUUUACAAUUUGGAGUGGUGAGUGUUGUGAAGCAGAUCUAGUGAGAUUGGGUUUUGGUACUUGGAUCUGUGGGAUCUGAUGGUCGAGGGUGUUCUUAGGUCACUGUUCUUGUUCGCUGGUCAUGGAGUGCAGUCACGCUUCAUCUUUGCCGGUGGACUUUCAAGACUUUUGCUUCUUCUCUUGACGGCUUGUUUCUCUUCUCCCAUGGCUGAAUCUGUGCAACAUCGGAUCGACUUCUCGAUAACUCGGUAUCUCCAUUGUCUCUCAUGUCUUCUGCUUUUGUGAAACUUGUUGCUCUGAUCAGUUUGUAUUCAUGAGAUCUGGUAACAUCAGCGGCUUAGGUUAAUUUGUCUCCCUCUUUUGGGCUAUUGUCUCCCUUUUUUGGGCUUAGCUUCUCUUCCCCGACUAAGUUAGACUUUGUUAGUUUGGGGUUGAGCUCUUGGAUUACAUAUCAGUUCUUCUUUUGUUGUAUUAAGCAACGAUUAGCUUAAUUAAUUGAUCGUUGUGGUGUUGAAAGGUUUAAGUGGUUCUCGAUUAUCCUACGGUUCAUCCGGGUUAGGUACUCUUUGAAAAAGAAGCAUCAUUUACGGAGAAGACCAAGUUCCACUAUCUUGUUAUUGCCAUAAGUGUUGAAGCCCGUCUUCUCAGUUUGUUGUGCGGGAAGUCCUUGUGGUGAACUUCGAGAGCUUUGUUUAGUCUCGAGAUAAGAUUAGUUUGGUUUUUGCAAUGUUCUCGAAAAAAACCCUUCUUCAUGGGUCGAGCUUUGUGUAUCUUUAAAGUCUAAACUCUUUAUUUUCAUAUGUAUU